ACAGUUCAGCACUUUCCUGUGCCAACUGGCAUCUCCAAAGAGGGCUCUGGAGAUUGGUAAAAACCAAACUGGAACGGAUUCUUCUAGAACCUGGAGCUUAAAAAAUAAAAGGCGGCAGAGGCUUGAGGUGCUUUGCUCCUACUCGGUCCUAAGUGAGGCCACCUGGUGGACAGAGGCGGCAUUGCAGCCAGAGGGAGCGGCGCAGCCGGAAGAAGGGACAGUGUGGAAGACCAGAGACAGGAAGGCCACUGCCACUUACAUCGUUACUCUGGCUUCAUGGAAAAUCCCCAAAGUCCAGAAGGAGGGAAGCAAGAAGGAAAGACGGUGACAGAGAAAGUGCCUUGUCCUCUGUGGGUCAUGUGAACUGCCCCGCAUGGCCAAGGCCCAGAACCCCCGACUCUGGGGGGCAGGAAAACGGGGAGGAGGAUGUGGACACAGAUGCGGAAGGCGAUGGUGGGAGGGACCCGGAGGAGAACCCCCGUGGAGACGGCCGCUGUCUUGGAGAAGCAGCUCCAACAACCGAUUUGGGCCAAACCCUGACACCAAAUGACGACAGGAGCAAUGAAUCGUGCCUUUCAGCUCUCUCGCCGACAGGGUCCCAUGUGAGCCUUCACAAACAAUCUCCGAGUGACGCGAGGGAUGACAGGCAGAACCAAACCCCAUUCUGACAGGGCAGUCCGUCCCCUCCCCCUCAUUCAAAGAGGUUCAAAAGUGCUCUUGUCCCAGCCAUCUUUGUCACCCCAGCUUUGGUGGCGAACCGUGAAGGGGAGGCCGUUUGUCCUGGUGUCUCAGCGAGACUGGAAGUCUUGGCAACAUGACCCAUGAAUGCUGUUUAGUUCAGUGGCUCUUAAACCUCAUGAACCUUGUGUCAGUAUUUAUGCCUGUCUCCCUUCGCCUUAUGCCUUGCAACUGGGAAAGUUCACCUUCAGACUUUUUCCAAGAUCACUUCUCAUUUU